GGUUAAGCGACUAAGCGUACACGGUGGAUGCCCUGGCAGUCAGAGGCGAUGAAGGACGUGCUAAUCUGCGAAAAGCGCCGGCGAGGUGAUAUGAACCUUUGACCCGGCGAUGUCCGAAUGGGGAAACCCAGUGCAAUCCGUUGCACUAUCGUUAACUGAAUACAUAGGUUAACGAGGCGAACCGGGGGAACUGAAACAUCUAAGUACCCCGAGGAAAAGAAAUCAACCGAGAUUCCCCCAGUAGCGGCGAGCGAACGGGGAGCAGCCCGGAGUCUGAAUCAGCUUGUGUGUUAGUGGAACGGUCUGGAAAGUCCGACGGUACAGGGUGAUAGUCCCGUACACGAAAGCACACUUGCUGUGAACUCGAAGAGUAGGGCGGGACACGUGGUAUCCUGUCUGAAUAUGGGGGGACCAUCCUCCAAGGCUAAAUACUCCUGACUGACCGAUAGUGAACCAGUACCGUGAGGGAAAGGCGAAAAGAACCCCGGCGAGGGGAGUGAAAAAGAACCUGAAACCGUGUACGUACAAGCAGUGGGAGCCUCUUUAUGGGGUGACUGCGUACCUUUUGUAUAAUGGGUCAGCGACUUAUAUUCUGUAGCAAGGUUAACCGUAUAGGGGAGCCGAAGGGAAACCGAGUCUUAACUGGGCGUUAAGUUGCAGGGUAUAGACCCGAAACCCGGUGAUCUAGCCAUGGGCAGGUUGAAGGUUGGGUAACACUAACUGGAGGACCGAACCGACUAAUGUUGAAAAAUUAGCGGAUGACCUGUGGCUGGGGGUGAAAGGCCAAUCAAACCGGGAGAUAGCUGGUUCUCCCCGAAAGCUAUUUAGGUAGCGCCUCGUGAACUCAUCUUCGGGGGUAGAGCACUGUUUCGGCUAGGGGGCCAUCCCGGCUUACCAACCCGAUGCAAACUACGAAUACCGAAGAAUGUUAUCACGGGAGACACACGGCGGGUGCUAACGUCCGUCGUGAAGAGGGAAACAACCCAGACCGCCAGCUAAGGUCCCAAAGUCAUGGUUAAGUGGGAAACGAUGUGGGAAGGCACAGACAGCCAGGAUGUUGGCUUAGAAGCAGCCAUCAUUUAAAGAAAGCGUAAUAGCUCACUGGUCGAGUCGGCCUGCGCGGAAGAUGUAACGGGGCUAAACCAUGCACCGAAGCUGCGGCAGCGACGCUUAUGCGUUGUUGGGUAGGGGAGCGUUCUGUAAGCCGUUGAAGGUGUCCUGUGAGGGGUGCUGGAGGUAUCAGAAGUGCGAAUGCUGACAUAAGUAACGAUAAAGCGGGUGAAAAGCCCGCUCGCCGGAAGACCAAGGGUUCCUGUCCAACGUUAAUCGGGGCAGGGUGAGUCGACCCCUAAGGCGAGGCCGAAAGGCGUAGUCGAUGGGAAACAGGUUAAUAUUCCUGUACUUGGUGUUACUGCGAAGGGGGGACGGAGAAGGCUAUGUCAGCCGGGCGACGGUUGUCCCGGUUUAAGCAUGUAGGCGGAGGUUCCAGGUAAAUCCGGUACCUUGUUAACGCUGAGGUGUGAUGACGAGGCACUACGGUGCUGAAGUGAUAAAUGCCCUGCUUCCAGGAAAAGCCUCUAAGCAUCAGGUAACACGAAAUCGUACCCCAAACCGACACAGGUGGUCAGGUAGAGAAUACCAAGGCGCUUGAGAGAACUCGGGUGAAGGAACUAGGCAAAAUGGUGCCGUAACUUCGGGAGAAGGCACGCUGAUAUGUAGGUGAAGUCCCUGCGGACGGAGCUGAAAUCAGUCGAAGAUACCAGCUGGCUGCAACUGUUUAUUAAAAACACAGCACUGUGCAAACACGAAAGUGGACGUAUACGGUGUGACGCCUGCCCGGUGCCGGAAGGUUAAUUGAUGGGGUUAGCGGCAACGCGAAGCUCUUGAUCGAAGCCCCGGUAAACGGCGGCCGUAACUAUAACGGUCCUAAGGUAGCGAAAUUCCUUGUCGGGUAAGUUCCGACCUGCACGAAUGGCGUAAUGAUGGCCAGGCUGUCUCCACCCGAGACUCAGUGAAAUUGAACUCGCUGUGAAGAUGCAGUGUACCCGCGGCAAGACGGAAAGACCCCGUGAACCUUUACUAUAGCUUGACACUGAACACUGGUCCUUGAUGUGUAGGAUAGGUGGGAGGCUUUGAAGCGUGGACGCCAGUCUGCGUGGAGCCAACCUUGAAAUACCACCCUUUAAUGGCUGGUGUUCUAACGUAGACCCGUAAUCCGGGUUGCGGACAGUGUCUGGUGGGUAGUUUGACUGGGGCGGUCUCCUCCCAAAGAGUAACGGAGGAGCACGAAGGUUGGCUAAUCCUGGUCGGACAUCAGGAGGUUAGUGCAAUGGCAUAAGCCAGCUUGACUGCGAGCGUGACGGCGCGAGCAGGUGCGAAAGCAGGUCAUAGUGAUCCGGUGGUUCUGAAUGGAAGGGCCAUCGCUCAACGGAUAAAAGGUACUCCGGGGAUAACAGGCUGAUACCGCCCAAGAGUUCAUAUCGACGGCGGUGUUUGGCACCUCGAUGUCGGCUCAUCACAUCCUGGGGCUGAAGUAGGUCCCAAGGGUAUGGCUGUUCGCCAUUUAAAGUGGUACGCGAGCUGGGUUUAGAACGUCGUGAGACAGUUCGGUCCCUAUCUGCCGUGGGCGCUGGAGAAUUGAGGGGGGCUGCUCCUAGUACGAGAGGACCGGAGUGGACGCAUCACUGGUGUUCGGGUUGUCAUGCCAAUGGCACUGCCCGGUAGCUAAAUGCGGAAGAGAUAAGUGCUGAAAGCAUCUAAGCACGAAACUUGCCCCGAGAUGAGUUCUCCCUGAGACUUUAAGUCUCCUGAAGGAACGUUGAAGACGACGACGUUGAUAGGUCGGGUGUGUAAGCGCAGCGAUGCGUUGAGCUAACCGAUACUAAUGAACCGUGAGGCUUAACCUU
rnacentral:rRNA from 1 species